rnacentral:rRNA from 1 species
AGAUUGAACGCUGGCGGCAUGCUUUACACAUGCAAGUCGAACGGUAACAGGCCGCAAGGUGCUGACGAGUGGCGAACGGGUGAGUAAUGCAUCGGAACGUGCCCAGUCGUGGGGGAUAACGCAGCGAAAGCUGUGCUAAUACCGCAUACGAUCUAUGGAUGAAAGCGGGGGACCAAAGGCCUCGCGCGAUUGGAGCGGCCGAUGUCAGAUUAGCUAGUUGGUGGGGUAAAGGCCCACCAAGGCGACGAUCUGUAGCUGGUCUGAGAGGACGACCAGCCACACUGGAACUGAGACACGGUCCAGACUCCUACGGGAGCAGCAGUGGGGAAUUUUGGACAAUGGGCGCAAGCCUGAUCCAGCAAUGCCGCGUGCGAGGAAGAAGGCCUUACGGUUGUAAACUGUCUUUUGUACGGUAACGAAACGGUUCUAGGGUUAAUACCGUCGGUACUAAGUGACGGUACCGUAAGAAUAAGACCACCGGCUAACGUACGUAGCCCAGCAG